GCCAAAGCGAAAGAAAAGCUAGAGGAUGCACUAAGUGAUUCGACACCUCAUAUGGAAUGGAGUAUAAGUGCACUUUGCAUCACACAACAGUUACUGUUAAAGUUCUCCACUCAACCGGAAUCAGCUAAAGCAAGCAAUUCCAGUGGGAGUUAGAGAUAUUGAGCUGAAUUCGUCAUCCAAACUUGCUUCUUCUUCUUGGUGCCCGAUCACGGUUGCCUUGUGUACGAAUACAUGGAGAACGAUAGAACUUGCUUCUUCUAGGAAACAUAUGUUUAUGCUUUUGGAUUAGUCACGUUACAGUUGACAGGGAAACCACCGAGACAACAGUUACUCAUGUGGGUGAAAGAGCGAUAGAAGGUGGUAACUUAACCGAUAUGUUGGAUCAAAAAGCAGGUUCAUGGCCAUUUCAAGAGACAUUAGACGUUUCGGUUAGCUUUGAGUUGUUCGGAGCUUCGGCGCAGAGACCGACUUGAGUUGUUAGAACAACACAGGAGAAGCUGAAAGAAGUUGCUGAUAACGCUCAUCAUUCCGCACCAAUGGUUACAAUUAUGAAUAUUUUAGGAUGUGAAGGACGAUUUGUGCCUUGCUGCAGACGGAUAUAUGUAAGUUUGACCAAAAAGCAAUUGAAACAUGGCUUGAAGAGAAUGAGAAAUCACCAAUGACAAACAUGGCUUUGCCUCAUAAGUUUUUAAUUCCAAAUUACACACUUUUAUCAGCAAUUUUAGAGUGGAAGUUCAAAGAAAUAUGAUAUUACGGUGUUUAUUUUUCAAUGUUGGUAUUUGAGUUAAUUAGUUUUUCUUGUGUAGAUUGGCUUAAAGAUUAUUUGUGUAGGUCUGUAGGACAUGUAAUACAGUGUCUUGGAUGCAGAUUUUGUUUAGGGAGAUUAAUUUUGCAUUGUAGAUGAAUUUGAUCAUAUGGUCUGAUUUUGUAUGUAAUAUAUAUUAUAGUUUCUAU